rnacentral:rRNA from 1 species
GAUGAACGCUGGCGGCGUGCUUAACACAUGCCAGUCGAACGGAAAGGCCAGUGCUUGCCCUGGUACUCGAGUGGCGAACGGGUGAGUAACACGUGGGUGAUCUGCCCUGUACUUCGGGAUAAGCUUGGGAAACUGGGUCUAAUACCGGAUAGGACAACUUUUUGGAUAUUGUUGUGGAAAGCUUUUGCGGUAUGGGAUGAGCUCGCGGCCUAUCAGCUUGUUGGUGGGGUAAUGGCCUACCAAGGCGUCGACGGGUAGCCGGCCUGAGAGGGUGUACGGCCACAUUGGGACUGAGAUACGGCCCAGACUCCGACGGGAGGCAGCAGUGGGGAAUAUUGCACAAUGGGCGCAAGCCUGAUGCAGCGACGCCGCGUGGGGGAUGAAGGCCUUCGGGUUGUAAACUCCUUUCGCUAGGGACGAAGCGUUUUUGUGACGGUACCUGGAGAAGAAGCACCGGCUAACUACGUG